AGUUUCUUUAAUAGGUCCUACGUCAAAAGUAAUAUUACGAGAUCAGUAUGCAAAGUACACGUAUUGGGAUGUAUUGAGUUUGUGGGAUGGGACUUGAUUAAUCUUUAUUUUGUAACAAAUGAUAGGUUGGACAAUAAAUCUCAAAUAAUUGCUGGAAUUGCUUAUGCGUGUUGAAGAGGGUUGAUCGUUGGAAAGUUUCUAA
rnacentral:lncRNA from 1 species